GGAAUUUUGCGCAAUGGGCGAAAGCCUGACGCAGCAACGCCGCGUGAGCGAUGAAGGCCUUCGGGUCGUAAAGCUCUGUCGGGUGGGAAGAACACAAUGACGGUACCACCAAAGGAAGCCCCGGCUAACUCCGUGCCAGCAGCCGCGGUACUACGGAGGGGGCGAGCGUUGUUCGGAAUCAUUGGGCGUAAAGCGUAUGUAGGUGGCCGGAUAAGUCAGACGUGUAAGCCCGCGGCUCAACCGCGGAAUUGCGUUUGAAACUAUUCGGCUUGAGUGCAGAAGAGGAAAGCGGAAUUUCCAGUGUAGCGGUGAAAUGCGUCGAUAUUGGGAAGAACACCAGUGGCGAAGGCGGCUUUCUGGUCUGCAACUGACACUGAGAUACGAAAGCCAGGGGAGCGA
rnacentral:rRNA from 1 species